UUGGAGGCCAGGGAGGCUUAGGCCCCCAGCAAAGUUCAGGGAGACCCCCAGCUUCCCCAGAGACUCCAUCUCCCCUCCAGACCUGCAUCCUGUGCCCUCCACCCUUCUUCUUAGGGGGUCACUGGAAUGAAUCCAGGACAAGGUGAAAGGGGAGCAAAGACGCUCCAGAACCCACGCCCAUGGGAUCUGGAGAGAGGAGACCACGUAUUCAGGCACAGCAGCGGGCAGUGGGGUCAAACCUAAGGAAGCACUUCCUGGCUGACGAGCUGUGUGACCUUAAGCAGGUCGCCAGCCUUCUCUGAGUCUUUUCUACGAUAUGAACCACCUCAUGAGGAUGAAACGAAAUAAAAGUUUCUCUCUUCCA